rnacentral:rRNA from 1 species
CAGCCGCCGCGGGAAUACGAAGGGUGCAAGCGUUAAUCGGAAUUACUGGGCGUAAAGCGUGCGUAGGCGGUGAGUUAAGUCUGCUGUGAAAUCCCCGGGCUCAACCUGGGAAUGGCAGUGGAUACUGGCUCGCUAGAGUGUGUCAGAGGAUGGUGGAAUUCCCGGUGUAGCGGUGAAAUGCGUAAAGAUCGGGAGGAACAUCAGUGGCGAAGGCGGCCAUCUGGGACAACACUGACGCUGAGGCACGAAAGCGUGGGGAGCAAACAGGAUUAGAUACCCCAGUAGUCCCUGUCUCUUAUAC